rnacentral:tRNA from 1 species
GGAGGAGUAUGGCUAAUUGGCAAGCCCCGGGUUUGCUAAACCUGUGCGGUCUAAAAAGCCGCUUGUGGGUUCGAGUCCCACCUCCUCCG